rnacentral:rRNA from 1 species
AGAGUUUGAUCAUGGCUCAGAACGUACGCUGGCGGCACGCCUAAUACAUGCAAGUCGAACGAAGUAGCAAUACUUAGUGGCAGACGGGUGAGUAACAUGUAGGUAUCUUCCCUUUGGUGAGGAAUAACACGAGGAAACUUGUGCUAAUACCUCAUAAGUCUUUACGGAGAAAGCUUUAUGCGCCAUUGGAUGAGCCCGCACUUGAUUAGUUUGUUGGUGGGGUAAUGGCCUACCAAGACUGUGAUCAAUAGCUGAUCUGAGAGGAUGAUCAGCCACAUUGGGACUGAGACACGGCCCAAACUCCUACGGGAGGCAGCAGUAGGGAAUCUUGCACAAUGGAGGAAACUCUGAUGCAGCGAUGCCGCGUGAGUGAAGAAGGCCUUUGGGUUGUAAAGCUCUUUCGUCGGGGAAGAAAAUGACUGUACCCGAAUAAGAAGGUCCGGCUAACUUCGUGCCAGCAGCCGCGGUAAUACGAAGGGACCUAGCGUAGUUCGGAAUUACUGGGCUUAAAGAGUUCGUAGGUGGUUAAAAAAGUUGGUGGUGAAAGCCCAGAGCUCAACUCUGGAACUGCCAUCAAAACUUUUUAGCUAGAGUAUGAUAGAGGAAAGCAGAAUUUCUAGUGUAGAGGUGAAAUUCGUAGAUAUUAGAAAGAAUACCAAUUGCGAAGGCAGCUUUCUGGAUCAUUACUGACACUGAGGAACGAAAGCAUGGGUAGCGAAGAGGAUUAGAUACCCUCGUAGUCCAUGCCGUAAACGAUGUGUGUUAGAU